rnacentral:rRNA from 1 species
CAGUCGCCGCGGUAAUACGGAGGGUGCAAGCGUUAAUCGGAAUUACUGGGCGUAAAGCGUGCGUAGGCGGCUUCUUAAGUCGGAUGUGAAAUCCCUGAGCUUAACUUAGGAAUUGCAUUCGAUACUGGGAAGCUAGAGUAUGGGAGAGGAUGGUAGAAUUCCAGGUGUAGCGGUGAAAUGCGUAGAGAUCUGGAGGAAUACCGAUGGCGAAGGCAGCCAUCUGGCCUAAUACUGACGCUGAGGUACGAAAGCAUGGGGAGCAAACAGGAUUAGAUACCCCUGUAGUCCCUGUCUCUUAUAC